rnacentral:lncRNA from 1 species
GUCACAAAUGCAGAGAGAGAUGUCGGCAGAGGCAGACAAGCUGAUGUUGAUUGAGUGUGGAAGACACCUAGAUGGACAUCAACAGGAAGAGAGACAGAUGGAAGCGAGAUGACUAUCCUGAAGCUUUCUGGAUUCACUCAUCAAUGGGGAGUUAGACAGUGUAAAGGAAAGAACAGAUUAUAGUACUGGUGGGGAAGAUCAUCCGAUGCAUGAAGAUGAGUGAAGUUUCUUUCAACUCAGAAGAAUGAACAUCAGUAAAGCAGCAUGAAGAAAACGAAGACCUUGCUUGUGUUUCUUUGUACUUGAAU